CUACCAGGGUAUCUAAUCCUGUUCGAUCCCCACGCUUUCGUGCAUCAGCGUCAAUAACGGCUUAGACAGCUGCCUUCGCAAUCGGUGUUCUGAGACAUAUCUAUGCAUUUCACCGCUACUUGUCUCAUUCCGCCGUCUUCAACCGCAUUCAAGCACUUCAGUAUCAAGGGCACUGCGACAGUUGAGCUGCCGUCUUUCACCCCUGACUUAAAGUGCCGCCUACGCACCCUUUAAACCCAAUAAAUCCGGAUAACGCUCGGAUCCUCCGUAUUACCGCGGCUGCUGGCAC
rnacentral:rRNA from 1 species